CCUUAUGACCUGGGCUACACACGUGCUACAAUGGACAGAACAAAGGGCAGCGAAACCGCGAGGUUAAGCCAAUCCCACAAAUCUGUUCUCAGUUCGGAUCGCAGUCUGCAACUCGACUGCGUGAAGCUGGAAUCGCUAGUAAUCGCGGAUCAGCAUGCCGCGGUGAAUACGUUCCCGGGCCUUGUACACACCGCCCCGUCACACCACGAGAGUUUGUAACACCCGAAGUCGGUGAGGUAACCUUUUAGGAGCCAGCCGCCGAAGGUGGGACAGAUGAUUGGGGUGAAGUCGUAACAAGGUAGCCGUAUCGGAAGGUGCGGUUGGAUCACCUCC
rnacentral:rRNA from 1 species